rnacentral:lncRNA from 1 species
GACCUUUGACCAUCUGGCUUCCCUCUCCAAGCAUGCCAAAUUAAUCACACUUCUUAAACACAUCUCUUGACCGGGGUGUUCUCACCAUGCCCUUUCUACAAACAAAAAGUCCUACAAGAGUUGGAGCCAUCCUCUCCUCAUCUUCUACUUUCUGCCUUCUUCUGGGACACGCUAUUGAUCACGAAGUAUCUUAUCCUUGAAAAAUCUCCUCUCUUCAACUCGAGUACUACUGCAGAAAGCAGCAACUUGGCGGCCUUUUAUGGAUGGGUGUUACUGAAGAAGGCAAUGUAUCGCAUCCUGUAUUACCUUCCCCUGACCUCAUAGCUUCCCAAAACAGGAACAAUCAUGGGCUUUGAAGAAUGAAGAUGUGGAGACCUGGAGACAGGUGGCACCUCGUGCUUCCUCCGAAGGGAGAGCCCAUUUCCUAACAGCUGGAUCAAAGGCAUGAAAUGAACAUGGAGUCCCUGAAGAUGAAGAGAAGGCAUGGCUUCCAGGGAGAAAUUGUACAUUACAGGAAUGCAGAUGUGAUUCCUAUGGAUGAGGGUAACCUAGAGGCUAGAAGAACAAUAGGACAGAAGAAGCCUGGGUCCCUGAACAACCUUGUGGAGCAUAGACACCUACGUGGCCUGGACUGCCAGCUCACAAUGGGCCUCUCUGUGAGAGAAGGAAACUUCCCUCUUGUUUAAGCAACUGUGCUUUUGAGAAUCUCUUGGUCUAUACCCUAAUGAAUAAGGCCAUCAUAAAUGGAUAUCAAAGUAAGGAAAUUUGUGUAAAUGAUUUAAUAAAACAUUACCUCAGGUAUGAAAUAA